GCUGGGUGCUGUGGGACACACCUGUCAUCCCAGCAGCUCGGGAGGCUGAGGCAGGAGGAUCACGAGUUCAAAGCCAGCCUCAGUAAAGCCAGGCACUCAGCACCCCAGUGAGACCCUGUCUCUA
rnacentral:sRNA from 1 species